GCGGGGGGCGCGGACACGCGUGGUGUGCGCGGUCCCCGUGCAGCCCGCCCUGCCGCAGGCUGCCCUCCACCCCCAGCCCCAGCUCCAGCCCCCAGCCCGUCCCCACUGCUCAUAUCCGAGCAGAUAGACCCCGGCCCCACCCUCCCGUGCUGAGCCUCCUUUCUGCCGGGAAGUUCGUCCGGGAGUCAAACAUCGCUGCCCUCCGGUUGCGCCACGGAGGGGGAGCCAGGAUAGGAAGCUGCCGUGAAAUCAGGAAGCUGAGCGCGCCGGGCCCCGGAUCCGAACAGAAAAGGCUUCCACCCGCUCCCCUGAGGGAUCCCACGCUGAGGGACUGAACCCCGCACCCCAGCCGCGCUCACCACCCCCACCCUCUCGCCUGGGCUGCUCUGACCUGGGGAUUCCAGAACUGCCACUCAAAGUGCCCUAUGAGGAGCUGUGGUAACAAGGAAAUGUUCUCAUGACUCAAAAAUCAGUGGAAAAAGGUACAGGAUGAGAAGCCUUGUUUCCCAACCCUAUCAACAGGUUGUAGUGCAACGGCACAACCUCUGCUCACUGCAUCCUCAACCUCUUGGGCUCAAGCAAUCCUCCUGCCUCAGCCUCCUGAAUAGAUGGGAACAUAGGAGCAUGCCACCAUGCUUGGCUAAUUUUUGUAUUUUUUGUUGAGACAAGGUCUCACUAUGUUGCCCAGGGUAAAAAUAAUUUCAGUUGGAGGAAGGCAGUGGAGAAUCAAUAAAAACCAACAAGGAUUUGGACUGGUGAAAGAAAAUACGCAUCCUCAUACUUCAUAGUGGGAAUCAAUAGGUAGACUUUUCUGAAGCAGAGAGGAAAUAAGGGUUUAGGCAUACAUUUUUUUUUUUUUUUUUGAGACAGAGUCUCACUCUGUCACCCAGGCUGGAGUGCAGUGGCACGAUCUUGGCUCACUGCAAUCUCCGCCUCCUGGGUUCAAGCAAUUCUCCUGCCUCAGCCUCCCGAGUAGCUAGGAUUAUAGACACCUACCACUAUGCCCAGCUAAUUUUUUGUAUUUUUAGUAGAGAUGGGGUUUCACCAUGUUGGCCAGGCUUGUCUUGAACUCCUAACCUUGUGAUUUGCCCGCCUCGACCUCCCAGAGUGCUGGGAUUACAGGCCACCAUGCCCAGCCAAGGGUUUAAGCAUACUUAAACAGGUAUUCACAAGUAGAACUAACAAUAUUUUACAUCUUUCAAGCUUCUUUGGUGGGAGGGGCAGCAACCUAGUAAAAGAUAUAAAACAAAGGAAAUAGCCAGAAAAACAUAAAAUAUAAGGCCGAAACAACUUAAUUAUUUAGCCACAUGAAGCUUUUUCCAUGACAUGUCCAUAAACACCCAGCUAAAGGUUUCCUGCAGAUAGUACAAGCAAAAACUCAAAAGAGAACAUAUUUACUGGCUCAUGUAGUUAUGAUGAGGAUAUUAGUGCAGAUCAGAGAAUCAAAGGGCCAGGAUGUCAGGAAAUGAGGUCAGAUGUUAGAGCUGCCAGGUCUGACAAUGCAAAAAGUGUUAAAUACCACUUAUUUAUCCUGAUCACUGCAUAUAGUCAUAAAUAUUUUCAUUAAUGAAUAAAACUAAAGAUAAAUUAAUCACUUAGGAAGAUAAAAGGAAGAAUACCAAAAUUUAGAAAAAAGAAUUAUAAGAUAGUAUACAGAUAAAAAACAGGCCCAAUAAAGAAACUAAAAUGCUGCUAACUAUCCAAAAGAGUGCUGCUAUUAAUUCUUUAGAUAUAGAUGAAUUACUUCUAAUCUUCAAGUAACAUUAAAGUGUAACACUAUAUCAACUGUUCUAGAGCACAGCAAAAGAUGAAAAGCUUAAUUUUUUUGAAACAAAAUAAAAUCGAAACCAAAGCCUGGGAGAGAUGAUAUAAAACAAAUUUAAAACCCCAUAUGCCAAUCUCAUUUUAAAAGAGACACUAUUCAACAUUAGGAAAUCUACUAAUAUAGUUUAUUGAAGUGAAGGAAAAAUCCUAUAAAAAUCCCAUGAUAGAAAAAAAAAAUCCCACGAUAGAAACCAAAAGUGCACGGUGAAAUUCAACAUUCAUAUCUACUACAGAAACAACAAAAUAAAUUUUAAAAAAGAAAAAUAUAAAUUAAAAAAAAGAAAUUCAACAUUCAUUCCUUUAUAUGACACACAUAUUCUCAGAUAUUUUUCAAAUCAACAAUCAGCAUUAUCGUUAAUGGUGAAACACUCCUGUAGCAUUAAUUCCAGUGAAGCAGGAAACAAGUCAAAAGUAGUUGUUAGCAUCACUACUGUUUAAUGCUCUUUCAGAAAUUCUAGUCAAUGUAGGCUAGGCGUGGUAGCUCACGCCUAUAAUCCCAGCACUUUGGGAGGCGGUGGGGGGCGCGGAUCACCUGAGGUCGGGAGUUCGAGACCAGCCUGACCAACAUGGAGAAACCCCGUCUCUACUAAAAAUACAAAAUUAGCGGGUGUGGUGGCUCACUCCUGUAAUCCCAGCUACUCGGGAGGCUGAGGCAGGAGAAUCGCUUGAACGCAGGAGGCAGAGGUUGCAGUGAGCCGAGAUUGCACCAUUUUGCACUCCAGCCUGGGCAACAAGAGCGAAACUCUGUCUCAAAAAAAAAGGAAAUUCUAGUCAAUGUAAGUAGAUAAGAGGACAAUAGGAGAGAUUUACAAGUAAAAAAGAGCAUAUUUAUCACCAUUUGAAA
rnacentral:lncRNA from 10 species